AACGCCGUGUAAUGCGUUUAAAGUCAACUGACAUUUCGGAAGAAUAUAUCGCCACCAUCAUCAGGGUCGAAUAACCCGAGCACCAGCUUUCACGCCGAUAUCGUGCACGGCAUAUGCAAUCCUGAAGAUUGAGGCGAUAUGUUCUUCGGAAACGUCCGUUUACUUUUAACUGGUUACAGACGCAAUAUCCCAGAAGAUAGUACUCGAAAUAGUAGUUAACGAUUUUACCGGCUGAAAUGGUGGUGGCGGCUGCCUCAAACGAAUUGUCGUAGUAUCACUAUCUCGCGGAUAGAUAGUAGCAUGGUAUGCAUGCCCGUGCAUGACGGUGUCCAGUGUGUUCCAGUAGCAUAGACCGGCAUAGACAUUGUACUUUGUGUUCAUCCGUCGUUUAAUGACUGAUGUUAAAUAAAUCCAAUUGAAAUAGUAAGUCAGUUCUGAAGCAAAGCAAGAGCGUUGUAUUAGCUGUGAGAACAGUAGGGACACUAUUGUGGGACUUACUUGGAGUAAGGAAAAUGUUCAUUGUCUCAGUGCUGACAGCAAAGGAGAAGGAAAAGAAGUAAAACUACCAGCUUGAGGAGGAAAUAUGCCACAACAUGUGAAUUGUCAGAGUGACCUCAAGCCAAGUUUUUGUGGAGAAAACGAUGAUUCUACAAAAGAUUUUGACCUUGAUGAGGAAAUUGAUAGUUAUCUGAAUCAAUUAGAAGCUAUUCCUAUUGAACUCUUUGAAGAAAGUUAUGGAGACAGUUCUGAUGGCACUAAGGGAGUUAAAAAUGUUCUUACUGAAACACCCCACACUACAGCCAGAAACACUUCAAAAUAUCAAAAUGAAAACACUGAAUCUACUGCAAGUGUCAGCAGCAUUGUUGCAAAGACUGUCUUCAAUGUUUUACAGAGGAAAAGGCAGGAAGAAGAAAGUAAGCUAUCUGUUGCAGGAGUUAACAGCAGGCGAACAGGUUCAGGUUCUAAUUCAGAAGAUGAGUUAUCCAAUGUAAUAUGUAGACAGUUGACAUCAAAAACUGAACAGCAGCUAGCAAGAGUUCCUAAAGUGAACAACAGGUAUCACAACAGCAAAAGGAAGACUUCAGGUGAAAAGUCAAUGUCAGCUCUAAUAAGUCCCAGCAGAAGUGUUAAUCAGGAAGAACCACCUGAAAUGACUCUACCGACCGCUUACACGAAAAGAGACUCAGAAUCUAAAACAAAUUUACAGAGUAGUAAGAAGCAUAAAAGGAGAAGAGAAAAGAAGAAAAGGGUCUAUAGUAAAAAUAUUAUGUCAGAUAUAAGUACAAAUAUUGUAAAUACUGGGGAAAUUGUGCAACAGUCAAAAUCUACAUCAUCAACACAGGAUGGAGUCAAACCAGAUAUAAUUCCAUGGAUAGAAGCUGCAUCUUCAUUUUCACUGGAAAAGUGUUGUGACGCCAGUAAUUAUCAUCAUGAUGAUCAAAAUGUAGUCUCUUUAGAUAUUAUCAAAACAGAAGACAGUGUAAUAAAACUUAGGAGGGAUUUCACAUUAUCGCCAGCAUCUUCAUUAUCAUCAUCUUUGUCCGGAAGAGAAACAGUUGUUUUGCCAUUGAGGGAUACCAGACUGCCUCAUCUGAAGCAAGAAUCACGACUUACUUCUCUGAAAAAGUGGCCAGCUAAUGUCAUAGCACAGGUUUCAUCAGAUAGCUUGUGUCAGUCAACAGAUGCAUUUUGUAUGAUUUCAAAACGUGAACCUUCACCGUUUCCCAUUUCUAAGCCUUUAUCAGAGAUUCCAACAUGUGAUCAAAUUGUGUCAGACUGCAGUAAAGUAUAUGGAGAAACAGACAUAGGCAGUAAUGAAAGUGGCUCUUUAUUGACACGAAAAAAAAAUGAGCAAAAGCUUUUGAAGAAAUCAGAAUCCAAGGACAGGGGUUCAUCUACACUUUAUUGUUACACACGAAAACGAUCUCAUUCUCGCUCACUAUCUCCCAGCAUAAGGUCACCAUUUAGAUUUGGUUACUGUAAGAGCAAAUGCAAGAAUUUACGGUCAGAAGUAAAGGUAAGAAGAAAAUUGUGUGACAAAAUACCAUCACCACCCACUAUACGUAGUGUUGUCAUACCUGAAUUCUCAUUGCGUAAGCAAAAAUCACUGGCACCAUCUCCACCAAGAUACUCAAGAUCAGAAUACCUGUGUAGACACAUACAUGAAUCCAAAAUUCCACCCAGUUCGGUUUCCACUACGAAACAACCUGAAGAACUGGGAACACCAGCAGGCUGUACAUCAGAUACUUCAGCAAAGACAGAGAUUGGGUCAAGUAAGCCAAAAGAUAACAUUUGUAAAUCAGACCUCAUUCAUGAUCCCAAAUUUUCUGCUCCCAUGCAUCAUACAUCCACAUCCAUGUCACACAAGCGGAGCAUUAUAAAUUAUAAAUCUUUGUCACCUGUAAGUAGUUGUGACUCUUAUUCACCAGGAAGGAAAAGAUCUAGACCAAGGAGAGAGAGUAAAUUUUUCAAGUCACAGUCAAGAUCCCCAUGUAGGUCAAGGAGACGAUCUAGAUCAGUGUCUCCCUGGAGGAGAAAAUAUAAAUACCGGAGGUCACGUUCCAGAUCUGUAUCUUCACGAAGACGACGAUCAAGAUCAAGAAGUCCAAGGAGAAAAAGAGUUAGAUCAAGGUCUCCAGUAGGAACUAGAUAUCUGAGGUCAAGAUUAAGAAGUAGAAAGUCACAUUCUCCAAGAAGAGGCUCACGGAAGCACAGAAGAAGAUCAAGUUCCAUGUCUGUUAGUUCUCCAUCUCCAGCAGGAAAAAGAACAAGGUUAAAGGAACAAACAGAAACUGCAUUCAGUUCUUUAAUUGCUGCUUUGAAUGAGAAUCGAACUGCUGCCACAUCGGUGAGUGUCACUCAAAGCUACAAUAUGCCUGUUGCCACUACUAGUUCAUCAGUGCCAUUAGAUGCCUUGCCUGUUCCACAGCUGACACAGGCUGCUUAUGCACCAACACAAGGGGGAGAUAUUGCACCAGCUCACAAUGUUUAUCACUGUGCUUCACACGGCAAGUAUGAAGUGCCAUCCGCCCUACCUUACGCUACCCCAACAUACCAGAAUAAUCAGAUAUAUCAGCAACAGCCAUAUCAGAAUAUGUACUUUCAGGGGAGAUAUCCAGACGCUGAAUCUUCAUAUAUAGUUUCAACAUCAGUCCAUCAGAUGUAUGGAAAUUACAACCAGAUGAGUAGUUCCCACCAGGAAGGAUACUACUACCACUCUGCACAAACAAAUUUUGAUCAGUCUCAAUUAUGUUUUCCAAAUGCUUUCCCACCACUGCCGCCGCCGCUGCCUCCACCACCACCACCGCCACCACCACCACCAUCAUCUCCACCUUCAUAUUUCCAUCUAAAUCUAGAAGAUGAAUUUUUACCUCCACCCUUACCAGCUGAAGACCAUCCACCACCACCAGCCCCUGUUGAAUUUGAUUCUUCCUCAGAUAAAGACUUGGCAGAAGGAAAUUCAGGCCACACUCUUCCUAUAACAAGUAAUUUAAAACAUGUAGGGAAGAGCAGUCUAUCUCCGCUUACUACCAGACUCCAGUCAAAUCUCAGGUAUCUUCUUCCUGAAGUUAAAAGGAAUAAGCCUUCUUCUAGUGUCUUGAAAAUUAUAGCUAGAGCUCUUCAAAGUCCUGCAAAAGAAGACAGAAUGUCAGAAAAUCCAAAUAAAGGAAAAUCAGCUGUAGGACCCCCAAGCAAAAUUGAGACAUAUGAAACGUCUAAAAGUGAUGUUAAAAAGCUGGAACUAGAUGCAGAAGUUGUAGUUGUGGAGAACAUAAGUUCAGAACAGAACUUACAAAUUCUAUCAAAAACUCGUGAACAAAGAGAAGAUAAAUAUUUGCAGAGUGUUUGGAAUAAAUCAGUGUCAUGUGAACUGCUCACAGAUUUGGAACCAGAUUUGGAGGAAAGAAAAAUGAAUAGUUUAACUUGCUCUAACCAGUCCCAAGUACCUUCAUUUGCUUCAGAUAGUCAUGAACCUACUUCAGGACACAUGUUGAAAACUGUACCACCAUCUGUCUUGUCAUGCACUACCAUAAAUAAUAAGAACUCUCCACUGGGUGAGUCUGAUGCCGACUGUAAAAUGUUCAGCAGUACAGAUUCACUUCCAAAUAGCCUCGAAGACAUAAGAAGUGAAAUAAUUUCCAGAGAAACUAAUGAAAUUAAAACACAACAUAUUCAGUCCUAUUCGUUUAAUAAACAUAGAGAAUAUAAACCAGUAGUACUGAAUCUUCUGCCUCGAAAGAAUCUAAGCAAAUUUUCUCAUUUCCAGACUAAUGAAAUUAAUACAAAAUUUAUAUCAUCAAAGCAAACUGAAUGUUCAAAGCAUGAAUCAUCUGCAUCUGUCCAACAGAGUAGAGUGAAAAAAUUGAAACAGGCUCAAUUUAAUAACGUUCAUGUGGAUAAAUGUACAGUUAGACAUCAGAUGGUGGGUAAAUCUUUAAGAAUACAGUCCACAAAUUCAUCUGAUGAGAAGUUUAAAACAGCUUCCAAAGAUAUUUUUAUUUGUGAAAGUGGUGCCUUUGUAUCAGAAGCAGAUCCUUUUACCUCCACGACAAGAAGUGUGUUGCCAGUUUUAUCAGCAGAUUAUAUAAAGAAUCAGUUAUCUGAUGAUGUAUGCCAGUCCAUUCCUGUUAGGGUGUCCAAAACACGGCAAGAUGUAGAGACAAAUUCAUCAUUCACUAGUAUGACUGGAAGUUGUGGUACAGUGAAUUCCGCUGACACUUUGAUCCAUUGCACUUUAAUGGAACAGACUGACUGCAAUACGUCCAUGAAGUCUAAUGGUGAUGCAACUCAACCAGAACUGUUACAAGAUAGCCAUGAAAACGCAAUCACUGAAAAACCAAGAGUAUCUGCAGACAAUAAGAACAGAGAAGUAAGGGAGAGUUGUCGUAAAUCUGAUAAAGGGUAUGCAGGAGGAGACUGUUCAGAAAUUGAGCUUGGAAAUAAGAGAAAAACAUUUCCUGUAAGUAGGAGUAAGAAAGCAUCAGCAUUGUUAACUGAAAAUUCCACUGCAGUGCCACAAGUGGAAAGUACAGAAGUAGCAGCUUGCAGGAGAGAAAAUGGAGAAAAAGCCACCAUUCUUUAUGGAAAAGGAAGUAUAGCAGAGUCUGUGGUAGGAAAUAAAAAAAUGGCAACAAUCAUUUCAAAAGCAGGAAAUAAAGGGGAAGAUGUACAUGAAAUAGAAGGUACAGAAUUUGAUCCAAUGGGAAAAAAUUUACAGCCAUCGUUAAUGGUUAAGAAAAGGAACAAAGAAAUAUGUAUGUCUGAACUGAAAUGCAAAGCCAUGUGUAAAUUAGGAGGCAAAGAGAAAUGUGCUUCAUUGUGCACAGGUAUUGAAUCUACAUCAGAAGAUCAUAGUGUAGGGACAGUCACUGAAACAGGAAGAACAGAAAUAUUGGAAAAUACAUGCAAAAUUGUUAGUAAAGAAAGUACAAUAUCAUUGACAGAAAAGGGGAAUGAAGCAGAAAUAAUAUCGUCCAUAGUAGCACAGGUGUCUGAAGCAAUGAACACAGAAAUGGGAAGAAAAAGUGAAGGAACAGUUGUACCUGAAUUAGUAGGCCAAGCAAACCCCUCAUUGUCCAAAGCAGCAACGUUUUUUUCUGGAGAAAAUUGUAUAAAAUCAGAAGGUAGUAAAAAAAUUGUAGCGUGUAUUCCUUUAAUAGACAAUAACAAAAUAUCAGUGCCUAAAUUAGGAGGUAAUGAAGGAUCUACUUUGUUGCUGAAGGCAGAAACAUUUGUUGCUGAAGAAGACAAUAAGGAUAUGGCUGUACCUAAAAUAGAAAAUAAAGAAGAAUCUGUUUCAUUGUCAAAAGUAGAAACUUGUAUGCACGAAAAGGAAUGCAUAAAGCUAGCAGCUCUAACGACUGAAAUGGUGGGUGAAGACAUAGGAUCAGUUGUACGUAAAGUAGAGAAUGAUGAAAUAUCUGCAUCAUUACAUGAAAUAAAAUGUAAGAAGGUAGUACAUUUUGUUGGAGAAGGAUCUGAAGAAGCUGACAAAUCUGUGGUUCAGACAAGGUUGUCUUUGCUUAAAACAGGAUGCAAAGAAGAAAGUGAUAAGCAGGUGGAAAAAUGUGUACUUCAUGAAACAGCAGCAUGUAUAAGAAGUGAAACAAAAUUCCCUGUAACUGCAGUAGACAAAUCAGGCAGAGCUGUGUUGGUGAAAUUAAAGGAGCAAGACACAAUCAACCCUCUUCCAAACUCAUUGUCUUUAGUUGCAAUGUCACACCCAAGAAACAAAUCCUCAAAUGAUGUUGAAGUUCCUUCAGUACAAAAAGAUUUAAUGGCUAUGUCACUUAUACAGGUAUCAGGACACAUUUCAGAAAAUGAUAUAUUUCCAAGAAAGCCUAAAUCUAAUGAGAAACAGAUGUCAGUAACUUCAUCAUCAGAAUCAGAAAUGAUGCCUCAUGUAGGACCUAUUUCACCCUCUGGAAAUAAAGAGAACUUGCCAGUCAUAAGUGUGAACUCAUCAGUUCUUGAACAUCUAGCAUCAUCAGGGUUAAAUGUUAACACAAAAUCUCAGCCACUAAAUGAAAGCUCAGUAACAUUAAAUAGUGCACCAGCAGAAAAUGCAUGGGACGAUCAAGCUAGUAGAACUGAAACCAAGAAAUUCAACCUUGGUAGUGAACCUGAAAGACCUUGUAUUGUAAAGACAUUGGGACCACCAGUUCCUUUAGACAGAGAACUGGAUUUAUCUCAACUCAAAGAUUUGCAGAGCCAGCCACAAGGUACACCAAAUCACUGUGAUAUUUCCUCUGUUAUAAAAGCCAAAGACGUUAAAACACACGAGACAGAAUCGACUGUCGAUGUAAGUACUUCCAAAUUACUGGAUCAUAUACAUGGGAUCAGAUCAAGAAGAAAUGAUAAUGUUGAAAACUUUGUAUCAGAUAAAAACAGGCCUGUUCCAAAAUCAUCUAAAACAUCAGUAGUUUAUAAAAGUAUUACUCUGAAACAAUUUCAGACAUCUGAAAGUGUUAUCAAAUUAAGCAACAACGAAAUAUUGGAAGAUUCUCCUACAACACCUGUCAAAAAUUGUGAUAGGUUGAUAGCACAUCCAUCAUCAAAACAUACAAGGUGUUUAGACCCAUCAACAUCAAAUCCUCAAGGUCUUGAAUUUGAUACCUCAGAAGUUACAAAAGUGACAUCAGAUAAAAUUCUCUCUAAUAAUAUAAAAAAUGAAAACAUUUGUAAGUAUAUGAAAUCAGCCAUACCGGAUGAGCCUGUUCACCAUAGAAGGUGUAAAUGGCGAGUAUUCAACAAAAGGAACUGCCAUAUGUUGAGUGAUAUCCAUCAGAAUUUACGUUUGGAGGCGUCUGCCCUCCUGAAUGGUAAGUGGUUGGUUUUGUUCAGAUUAACAUCUAUAUAUUGCCUAUACAGUUUACAUGGACUGGAGCAACCAUUUGCACUGUUAUUUCAGAGACACUGUCUCAGCCUUUUGUAUUCUGAAUAUCGUGCGGCAUUUAGAAGCUGGAGAGAGUAAUGGCUCAUGCAUAUUCUACAUACUUCAUACUUUGGGAGUGGAAGUAUCUUAAAAACGAGCCCGUUUACAUUUAUUUAAAAGUUUUCUAGAAUAAAUGUGUGAAAAGACAUUUUGCUGUUGUUCAUUAUGUUCUCCAGAUUCUAUCAUAUUUGUAUAUUCACUUCAUUUCAACACCAAAGUUUGUUAUACCGAAUGGUUCGUUAUUUGAAUGGAUGAUGUUCGCUGUGCUUGAUACUACGUAGUACAGUCAAUAAUUUUGUAGAUUGGCCGCAUAGUGGCUCUGUUAUGCACUGUGUGGAUACAUGGGCCCAUGGGAUGGUGCCGUGUCAAUUCUUCUCUCGUCCCAGCAAGAAGCAGUUGCAUGCAUGAGGUGUAUUCAGAAAGAAUGUCACUGUUGUGAAUGGUAGUUGUCUGUGAGUGGUGGAAGUCGAGAAUGUCACAGUUUGAGCAACAGGCAGAUGUCAAGUUCUGCCAAAAAUUAGGCAAAUCCACUAGUGAAAUGUUUCAGAUGAUCAAGCAAGCAUAUGGCGAAGAAGCCUUGGGAUGUAGUGCUGUGUUUAAGUAACACAAACAUUUUGCACAUGAAAGAGACAGUUUGGAAGAUGAUGAGCAUACCGGUUGGCCAAGAAGGGUCAGAACUGAACUCAAGAUCUAAGAAGUUGCAACAUUGGUUCAUGCCAGCUGAUCCCAAACAGUAGAUGGAAUCGCAGCAGGAAUGAGCCAUGUUGCCACAGAAUUUUGUCUGAUGACCUAAACAUGUCUUGUGUUACCCAGCACAAUGUUCCACAAUGUACAUUGCAUGAGCAUUUGUGGUGACCUGAUCAAUAGUGCUGACAAAAAUGGGACCUUUCUCAACCAAAUCAUGACAGGAGAUGCAACAUGGUGUUUUCUGCAUGAUCCGCAAGUGAACCAACAAUCAGCCACCUGGAAAUCACCAUCAUCACCAAGAAAUAAGAAACUGAUACAGGACAGUUUGAAAAGUAAGGUAAUGCUUAAACUGUUUUUCAACUCAUCUGGAACUGUUCACAUGGAAUUCAUCCCACAAGGAUUGAUUGUAAUCAAGCACCGCUACAAUGAGAUCCUUCACAGUCUAUGCAAUUCAAUUCGUUAUAAGUGUCCUGAGCUUUGGCGCAAGAAGAACUGGCUGUUGCUACAUGACAGUGCCCCUGCACAUUGCUCUGCUUGUCCAAGAGGAGCUGGCAAAACAGCAGGUCACCGUUUUGCCACAUCCUCCAUACUCACCUGAUCUCACACAAUGUGAUUUCUUUUUCUUUCCCUGCAUGAAAGAAACGCUAUGUUGGCCUCAGUUUUAGUCAGCUGAGAUCAUCACUGCCACAACGGAAGCCGUACAGGACCUUCCUGCAAAUAUCUUUCAGCAGUGUUCCCGUCAGUUAUACCAAUGUUGGCAGACUUGCGUAGCAGCCAGUGGCAACUGUUUUGAGGGAGGAUGUAGAUAUGUGUAAGCGUAUAUCCUAAGCUUAAAUUAUGUGCUGUAGUUGAGCUAAAUAGAAAUGAGUUGACCAAGGAAAGUAGAAAAUCAGGCCAUUCAAGACGCCA